UACGUAGGGGGCAAGCGUUGUCCGGAUUUAUUGGGCGUAAAGAGCGUGUAGGCGGUUCGGUAGGUCCGUUGUGAAAACUCGAGGCUCAACCUCGAGACGCCGAUGGAAACCAUCGAACUAGAGUCCGGAAGAGGAGAGUGGAAUUCCUGGUGUAGCGGUGAAAUGCGCAGAUAUCAGGAAGAACACCCGUGGCGAAGGCGGGUCUCUGGGCAGUAACUGACGCUGAGGAACGAAAGCGUGGGUAGCGAACAGG
rnacentral:rRNA from 1 species